GGCAGCCUACCGCGGCCACGCCCACCGCGGCUCAGGAAGCCGAACUUCACCGCGCAACUCCGACGUCUCCUCCCAUUGGACAACCUGCCAGCCACUCGCGUUAAUCCCGCAGGGCUAUUGGCCAGAGCCUUUGUUUAAUCACGUUUCCUUGGAGCCGCCCUGGCAGUGAAGGGCCCAGGCCUGCCCCCAGCCCUUGGCUCCACCCCCUGACUGUCCCUUAACUCGUUGAGCGCGGCUGGAAAUCCAAGCGCUUCUAGGUGCUGGUUCAAUGCCUGGUUCAUGAUUUAUUUCAUUCUCUCCCUCCAUCUUGCAAUAGGUUACUUUUAAUCAUUUAGAUCUAUGACACUAUGCUAAACGUUAUAGGAGACAAAAAGACUGUGAACAAACAAAAAGAACCAAACGAAAAGAGCCAAAUCCAGGAUUCUCGUUCAGAUCAGCAAGUCAUUGGGAUCGAGCUCCUAGGGCAGCUACUACAUCUGUUAUGUCCUUGAGAUAAUCCCAGCACCUAGCACGGUGCCUGGCACAAAGUAGAUCUUCAAUGAAAGAACGAAACGAGCCAUUAUAUUUACACAGAUGUAUUUCACUCAGUCCUCUGGAAGAGAUGCCUAGUGUGAAAGAGAUUCCAAGAAUAAAUACCAUAAACAGCACCGAGCCCAAAUCCCACAGCAAACAUCCUUAUUAAAGGCAAAGAACGUGGGGCGAGUUCCUUUUCUCAGAAGAUUUUACAAGAACGCAACUGUUGCGAAGAAGGAACAGACAUUCGAGAUUCUGAGUCCAAUGGGAACUCAUUUAACUUUUUAUUUUGCAGCAGAUUUCAAAGUCUGCACCCAGCCCCUCCCAGGACACAAGUCUCCUUGCAGCUGCCUUUAACCUAAGCGUAUCCUCUCUCCACUUUAAACCAAACGCCGCUGCAUGGAGCCCUGGGAGCCUGAGCCAUGAGAAUCCUGUAGAGGGUGAAUCUUGCUAUUAGUUAACUAGAGAGAAGUUAGGGGACGCCUUUCUGGUUCUCCUCUCGUUUUAAGAAGUCUCCAGGAAGUAAGCCAAGAGCUAGGAGAGAUCAGGUUUCCCCAGCCCCGUCCUGGGUAAACACCCGGCGGGCUUUAGGACCCAGCGGUGGGCUCUCCGGAAGGGGAAGGGGCCGGGCCUCGAGGCACAAGCCGCUGCCCCCAGGAUUUGAACUGCGCGCAUGCGCGGCGGCCGCCGAAGGGGCGGGAUCCGAGGCGAGCGUUGGUUCUGUGCGCCUCAGGAGUAUAAUGUCUCAGGAAGGCGAUUAUGGGAGGUGGACCAUAUCUAGUAGUGAUGAAAGUGAGGAAGAAAAGCCAAAACCAGACAAGCCGUCUACCUCUUCUCUUCCCUGUGCCAGGCAAGGAGCAGCAAAUGAGCCCAGGUACACCUGUUCCGAGGCCCGGAAAGCUGCACACAAGAGGAAAAUAUCACCUGUGAAAUUCAGCAAUACAGAUUCAGUUUUACCUCCCAAAAGGCAGAAAAGCGGUUCCCAGGAGGACCUCGGCUGGUGUCUGUCCAGCAGUGAUGAUGAGCUGCAGCCAGAAAUGCCGCAGAGGCGGGCUGAGAAAGUGGUGAUCAAAAAGGAGAAAGACAUCUCUGCUCCCAAUGACGGCACUGCCCAAAGAACUGAAAAUCAUGGCCCUCCCGCCUGCCACAGGCUCAAAGAGGAGGAAGACGAGUAUGAGACAUCAGGGGAGGGCCAGGACAUUUGGGACAUGCUGGAUAAAGGGAACCCCUUCCAGUUUUACCUCACUAGAGUCUCUGGAGUUAAGCCAAAGUAUAACUCCGGAGCCCUCCACAUCAAGGAUAUUUUAUCUCCUUUAUUUGGGACGCUUGUUUCUUCAGCUCAGUUUAACUACUGCUUUGAUGUGGACUGGCUCGUAAAACAGUAUCCACCAGAGUUCAGGAAGAAGCCAAUCCUGCUUGUGCAUGGUGAUAAGCGAGAGGCUAAGGCUCACCUCCAUGCCCAGGCCAAGCCUUACGAGAACAUCUCUCUCUGCCAGGCAAAGUUGGAUAUUGCGUUUGGAACACACCACACGAAAAUGAUGCUGCUGCUCUAUGAAGAAGGCCUCCGGGUUGUCAUACACACCUCCAACCUCAUCCAUGCUGACUGGCACCAGAAAACUCAAGGAAUAUGGUUGAGCCCCUUAUACCCACGAAUUGCUGAUGGAACCCACAAAUCUGGAGAGUCGCCAACACAUUUUAAAGCUGAUCUCAUCAGUUACUUGAUGGCUUAUAAUGCCCCUUCUCUCAAGGAGUGGAUAGAUGUCAUUCACAAGCACGAUCUCUCUGAAACGAAUGUUUAUCUUAUUGGUUCAACCCCAGGACGCUUUCAAGGAAGUCAAAAAGAUAAUUGGGGACAUUUUAGACUUAAGAAGCUUCUGAAAGACCAUGCCUCAUCCAUGCCUAACGCAGAGUCCUGGCCUGUCGUAGGUCAGUUUUCAAGCAUUGGCUCCUUGGGAGCCGAUGAAUCAAAGUGGUUAUGUUCUGAGUUUAAAGAGAGCAUGCUGACACUGGGGAAGGAAAGCAAGACUCCAGGAAAAAGCUCUGUUCCUCUUUACUUGAUCUAUCCUUCUGUGGAAAAUGUGCGGACCAGUUUAGAAGGAUAUCCUGCUGGGGGCUCUCUUCCCUAUAGCAUCCAGACAGCUGAAAAACAGAAUUGGCUGCAUUCCUAUUUUCACAAAUGGUCAGCUGAGACUUCUGGCCGCAGCAAUGCCAUGCCACAUAUUAAGACAUAUAUGAGGCCUUCUCCAGACUUCAGUAAAAUUGCUUGGUUCCUUGUCACAAGCGCAAAUCUGUCCAAGGCUGCCUGGGGAGCAUUGGAGAAGAAUGGCACCCAGCUGAUGAUCCGCUCCUACGAGCUCGGGGUCCUUUUCCUCCCUUCAGCAUUUGCCCCUGCGGAGAGUAUAAAGGAUGAAGUGGAGGCUUCGUUCUCUGGUAACGCAUGGAUAAGCCGAGGACACAGACACUGGGUCUAGACAGUUUCAAAGUGAAACAGAAGUUCUUUGCUGGCAGCCAGGAGCCAAUGGCCACCUUUCCUGUGCCAUAUGAUUUGCCUCCAGAACUGUAUGGAAGUAAAGAUCGGCCAUGGAUAUGGAACAUUCCUUAUGUCAAAGCACCGGAUACGCAUGGGAACAUGUGGGUGCCCUCCUGAGAAUCUUGAGGCACCGUGAAAUUUAAGUGUAAGACAUUGAGCCACAAACAUGGAAUCUCUUCUUUGUACUGGAUGUUCACUUCCCUUAAAGUCUUAUUUGCACCCUUACAAAAUCUUUCCAAAGGUCACUCUUAUGAAUGGAUGUUGGUUAUACUUUUAAUGGACAUUAACAUUCCCAAUAAAAAAAGUAUUAGUUUCUUAAUUCACUUUUAUAUGUUUUGGAAAGAAAAUUAGUGAACUUCUCUAUGUUAAAAAUACGUACUGCUUGAGUAUCCCCUGUCUGAAAUGCUUGGGACCAGAAGUGUUUCAGCUUUUGGAUUUUUUUGAAUUUUGGAAUGUUUGCAUAGCAUAAUGAGAUAUCUUGGGGAUGGGACCCAAAUCUAAACACAAAAUUCAUUUAUGUUUCAUAUACACCUUAUAUACAAUAACCUAAAGGUGAUUUUAUAUGAUAUUUUGAGUAAUUUUAUGCAUGAAACAAAGUUUUGACAGGCUUUUGACCGUGAUUCAUCACAUGAGGUCAGGCAUGGACAUUUUCAUUUGGAGCAUCAUGUCAGCACUCAAAAAGUUCUGGAUCUUGGAGCAGUUCAGAUUUUCAGAUUAGGGAUGCUCAAUCUAUAUAGAUAUAAAAUUAUCCUCACAGUGACAUAGAAUCUCUUGGUGCUGUCAGCUGUUGGGAAUUGAAGAUUGACUUUGUGCUUCCACCCUCCAUCCAGAAAGGGACCCUUCAUUCCACCAGAACUUUACCCAGGAAGAACACGAUCAUUUCCUUUUUCACCCAUGCCCUCUCUCAGCUUUCUGAGUACGUCUCUUGGGGUCGCUGGAGGUGAUUCUAGGAUCUGUCUCUGAGACCAAUGUGCUGUUUCAGCCCCCUGCAGCUAAGAAUUCUAUUGACUGUCCUCAUAGCGGCUUUUCAUAGCUUUCAGCUUCAGCUUUACGAGGCUUCUCCUCUCUCCCUGGCACCCCGCUGGCUGCCUCACUGCUUACAGGCAGGUCCCACCAAACCCAAACACCUGCCCAGGGUAAAUGAGUCUCUCUUGUAUCCCCAGAAACUUUCAGAGGAAGCAGCUCAUAGAAACAUACAAAAGCACACAAGUAUUUUGGGAAAAAAUCCUAAAAGGUGACUUAAUUUGAUGCCUUAAAUUCACAAGUGAGGAAGCUAAGGCCUAGAAGGUUAAGGAUGUCCCCAGGGUCACACAGUGAGCUGGGCUCAGAGCUUGAGUGUCUUUGUGCUUUGUGUACAUUGCGUUCUCCCUAGGGUGCUUUAGACCCUGUUUGUUUUCUUCUGCAUGAGGCUGAUUUCCAGUUUGUCAUCAACCUCUUUAUCUUAUAAUUUAGGAUAGAGUUGAAUGUUAGUCUUGAAAGAUUUUCUAAAGUAGUCUUUCAAACUGUUCCUCAGAGGCCUAGGAUUUUCCAAAUGUACCUUAGGAACCUUGUAGGCUGCAGUGGGGGUGUGGCGAUAAAGGAGGCAGGGAGACAGGGCUGCAGGGCCUCCCACCUUCCAACAGACAGGCUCUGCUUUAUCUGUUGUACAUAUUGGGAUUCUGUAAAGGACAUUAUCUGGGGUUUUGUAUGUAUUUUUGUGUGUUCUGCUUUUUUUAAAUAAACUUGAAAAGCUACUGAACUAA